rnacentral:misc_RNA from 1 species
AGAGGGGGCGUUUCAAAACAGAUAAUCUGGACAUUUUUUAUAUUAGUGGAUGAACGUAGUUUGAGCACAAAGAUUUGAUAACUGCAUUGACUGGACUAAAUAUUGAGGAGAAAGAUGAUGAGGAGAUGAGAAUCUUGCUGGUUGGUGCUGGAGACCUGAGGCAUGUUCUGACAACUUUAGCCAGAUCUUAUCGUUAUAGGAAGAAAAAAUUUCAUCUACGGUUAAAGAUCUGUGAUUACCAGGUGUAAAUAAAUUGAUUGAGCUGUCUUCCAACAAAUAGAUGUCUCCAGAUUAAUAGUUUUACAUCCUUGAGAAUGCGCUGGAGCUGUAUGCCAGAGACAUGCUAUUUUUAUCUUUGAGUUUGGAAACACCAAAACGCAUGGGCUUACAGGAAAAGACAGAGAUGUUCCUAGAACUCUUUGGUAAUCUGACGAUCAGAAAACAGUCCUGUGAAUAUGUGGAAAAGAUGGCAAAUGAGUUCAUUAAAAUGGUGACAGAUUUUGACAUUCUCCAUCAGAAAUUGCCCAUGUUAGAUUUGUCUCAGUUAAAGUUUAAAGAAAGAGACUUUCUUGAAGGAAUUUUCAAAUUUUGGAGAAAUCCUUCAAUAGAAAUAUUUGAUGCAGUAAAACAUUGGGACAUGAGACAAAGACAGUACCUGGGCCCGCGGUACGACUGUCGGAUGAAUGCUUAUGACUGGGACUAUCACAUGAAACUUGUCAACAAAGAGGCAGAAAUCAUUCACAAACAUGAAUACAAGACUUGGAGGAGUACGGGAAUUGCUUUUGAACCAAGGGAGGCAACUUAUGAUGUCCCAAACAAAACACUGGCCUCUGGAGUGGUUGUCAAUCAAGGAGGGGAGAAAGUGUCAAGAAGAGGAUACUGGGGGGACAUUGUGGCCAGCCCCUUCCUGGCAUUUGGGAUCCAAAGUGAGGACAAAUCCUUCUUCAAGAAAUCUAAUAACAUGUAUACAAAGCUAUCCCUGAAUGUUGCUGAAUUCAACAUUUUGUCUCUCUUUCAUGAGCUAACUCACAAAGAAAAAUAUGUCCCUCCAAAAGUAGAGGAAAAAUCUUCAGAGAAAAAGGAGAAGGAAGGAGGGGCAACAAUCACAGAAAUAACUGAGGAGGAAGAAAAUCAGGAAGAGGAAUGUUUGAAGCAGGAUGACGUCUCCAGUAACCCCCUAGAGCUACCCUAUGAAAGUUUACCAUUAGAGGAUGUUAAGAUCACAUUUCUUCCACUGAAUUGCCUCCCAGAUCUUCAGAGAAAGUCAAAAUACCAAAACACAUUCCACAUGGUGUACUUUGCCAAUAGUCUGGUUCAUCUCCUGACCUCUGAUGUGGCGCCCAUCCUCACCGACACUGCUGUAGUGAUCAUAGAGACAGCCAGAUAUAUGCUAGAACUGAAAGAUGAUCAAGAGGUGGAAUUUGUCAAUAAAGUGAUAGGUCUGGCAAAGGCUGCUGGAUGUCAGGAUCCAGGGAAAAUUGAUGCCAAAACAUCAAACUUCAUCACCUUUAGAUACCAGCGACCAAGUUCCUGAUGUUAACUGGACAGUUGCUGUUCAUUAUUAUAAACAUCCUCCAUUCAUCUGAAGGCAAUCAUAAACUAUUGUGGAUUUAAUCUGGGUUGAUGAUUGACAAUCAGUUUCACUGAUCACAAUAUGUGUAUAUUUAUUCCUUUCUGUAUUUAAGACAAUAAAUUAUUGUGCAAUGU